GCGCCGCCAUGCUGAGGCUUUGGGUUUCUCUGAGGCCUUUGGCAGGAUUGCGGCUCACUCGCCUCUCACCUCCUCCUUUCGCGUGCCCUUUCCCGGUCUCCCUGGGUCAGUGCGGCGGAGCCUCCAUACACACCUUCCCGAGCUGCAAGUCUGUCUCGUUGGGUGACGUUGGGUGUCGGGAGCGCGGCCACUUUGCUCGAGAGUAACGAGCACCUGGAUUCCCGACCCAUUUUCCUCCCCCGCUCCCACAUUCUUUCCUUGUCUCCUUUGGGCUUUUUUGUCCUCCUCUCUCCGAAUUUUCUGAUUACACACCUCGGCUCGGCAGCGGCCUCCACGGACCUCACGGGUUUUGCCCGCUGCUGGCGCGUGAUCCGACGAGUGAGUCAGCGCGGAGUCAGAAGUCGCCCAGUGCCAGCUGGGGCCGCCCAUCCAGACUGGCCUUGGGCGCUCCAGGGUUGAAACCAGCUCCUGGGCCACGCUGUCACCUAAUGGCCGCUGCCCGGUCACUCCUUUCCUACUUUUCAAGGGUUUUUUCCUGGAUGAAAUUCAUGACAGACAUUUGACCUUCCAUUUCCAAACCCUUCCCCCAACUUCCUCUCAAACAAGGCUUUGAGUUAGUUUCAUGGGGAUGCUUGCCUGCCUUAGUUCAUACCUGCGUUAUCUUGAACAUUUAUUUAGUUCCCUUCCGGUUCCUCAGGAUUUCUGGAGGCGUAUUCCCGCCUCGAUGGACAGGAGUUUGAGGAAGCUCUGGGAGUUGGUGAUGGACAGGCAAGCCUGGCGUGCUGCAGUCCAUGGGUCGCAAGGCGUGGGACCCGACUGAACGACUGAACUGAACUGAUGCCCGCCUCCCCGCCCAGUCAUUCUUGACUUGAAAGCACAGUUUUUUCUUUCCAUUACAGCUCUUAAGGCUUGGAAUUUCUCUCUGAGGAUAACAAGGUGGGGCUCCCUAGGGGCUCCGUGCUGGGCCACAAGCACCAUUUUGAGCAAUAAUCAUGCAUGACACUUAAAAGAAAAACCUUAUUUCUCCAGAUUGCUUAAUAGCUUUUUAAUUUAUGAAAUUUCCGUGUUUUAUUCCUUGGUUAAUCAGAGGAAUUUUUAGUGCUUUCUCCCUUAAAAAAAAAUUUUUUUUUUUUUUUUUUUUUGUAUUCUACUUCAUUCCCUCUAACCCCACCCCUUCCUUAAUCUGGGCCAUAUAUUUACUUCCUCCUUAUCGUUGUGGGCACCAGGGUGUUUUCCUUUGUUGCUGAAUGCAGUGUAUCCGCCCUCUCUCUGCUGUGGCAACCCUUCAGGUGGACACUGGUUAUGCCGUUAUCAUAAACACCUACUGGAUGCUGUGCAGUACCUGAAAUGGGGUAAGUGUCAUUCCAGGCACCUCAAUCCUCUGUCUCAUCUCAGGAACAACUCCCCAGUCCCUCUAAAGGGAACCCUCAAUGCUGUCUGUAUUGGCCCCACUUGACAGAAAAAUGAAAGCUCUGUGUACUAGCUAGCAAGGCUGAACCUGGAUCCACACCUCACUCAGGCGGGGCUGACUAACCUACCCACCUGCCUUGGGAGCUGCAUAAAAUGAUUCCUCAGCCACAAAUCCCAAGUGGCUUUCAGUCCACCAGCUGAAAAAACCCCGGGGGGUGGGGGGUGGGGUAGGAUUGGGAGAAUUUAGUCCCUGCCACCUGCAAUCCCCUAUCUAGCUAGGGGGCUAUUUUACAAAUUCACUGAGCCUUUGGGCAAGGGGCUUAAUCCUUCUGGGCCUCAGUUUCCCCACCCUAAGUGAAUAGGGACCUCAAGGCAGGUACUGGGGAGUCGUAAAGGCUGAUGGGAGUCGUUGUUUUCUUCUCUCAUGCUCUCUCUGCUACCUUCAGGUAAGCUGUCUCUCUCAACAGUGCCCAGUUUUCUAGUGAAAGCUUUGCUACAAGACCACAAAAAUAAUAGUAACUAAUUACAAUGUCCUUCUACCAGCUUGUUGGGGGUGCAGGGGCAGCUCCCCUCAUCCCUGUUGCACCCUCCCUUUGUCUAGGAUGCCCUCAGCUCAUCCUGUCUCGUCCUUUCCCCAUUUCUUACUCCUCAGCUCUGGACAUCUUGCUACAUCACCUUCUAAACGUGUCUCCCCUCACUGGCCUGCUGAGGCUGCUAACUGGGUCUCAUGCAUUGGAAACUCCUAAGCCAAGCCCAGAGGAGGAUGUGCCAAAGCUGUUGAUGAUCAUGACACAGUCGGCCUUCAAAUCAGUAACAGCAGCUACCAUUUCAUGAAACCCUCCAAGGACCUGCCUGGGCUUUUACAACACCCCAGCCCCAUUAAGCAAGUGACCAACUUUUACACAGAUCCACACUGGGAGAGGCUAAGAAUCUGCAGAAGGGAGCACCUGGGAACCAAACCCUGUUCUUUUAUGCCUUUUAUACCAAAGAGGGCUUCACAUAGCUACAAUCUUUUCCUCAAAUGUGCCCAAGAGUGUCUCAUCCAGAAGUCACUGCACUUGCUACCUGCUUGCCAGGUGAUGUCUUUCUUAACAUCUCUGCUUCUCCUUCCCCAUCCAGCUCUCAGGUCAGAUGUCAUCUAGGAGCUAUCUUCCCACCCAGUUCUAAACUAGUAUUGCCCAGCCAUGCUUCCCCAUUCCUGUAUCUUCCCCAUAUAUAUACUCUAUAUUGUUUCAUUUUUCUUCAUACCAUUGAUUGCCACCUUUAAGUAUCUGGCUCAUUAAUUUCUCUCUCCACCCUCUCUAGAACAGCACUGCUCAGUGGAACAUUCUUUGGUGAAGGGAAUAUUAGCCAUUAGCUGCAAGUGACCAGUGAACAUUUGAAAGGCCAGCACAACUAAGGAACUGAACUGGAAAUCGCAUUGGUACUGGAAUUGUGUCCAUCUGUAAGUUAUCAUGGGAAGACAGCUGCUGCUGCAAAGUUCCCAUCUUUUACUUGGGAGCCUAAGCAGGUCAUGGGGUAAGAGGACCUUGGUUUAAACCCCCACCUGCUUCUUCCCAAACCAGGUCAGGGACUUGCCUUCAUGCUCCCACAGGAUGAAUGGGGCUGUGGAGUUUCUCUAGGGCUGCUGGCUGGAAUAAUUAUAGGACUUAAGAAAGGGACUUCAUGCACUUCUAGCCUUUUAAUCCCUCAAAAGAAGUCAGUGUUUUUACAUACUUAAGUCUUACAUGGCCCUCUAACAUAACCUUCUCCAAAUAGAGCCUGCUCAUUCCUUACCAAUUUAUUCCUAGGUUCCAUUUCAAAAAAAGUAUCAAUAACAAAGUCUUUCCUCUAUGUUGAAGUGGUUAUUCCUGCUUUAAGCCACAAAUAUUAAGUUUCUGUAUUUUAUACUCGGUUGUAACUGCUCAACUCUAUUUCAGAGGAUACUUUUUUUUUUUUUUUUAAACACAUUAUCUAAAAAUAGAUAAAAUAGGUGCUCAUUAUUACAAGCUACAGAUAUUUUCUCCUUUUCAAUAUUUUUCUCAUUUUGUGCUUUAGUGAGAACAAUGCUAUGUGUAGGUUGCAGAAAGAACCUGUUAACAAAGCACCUAGUGUUCUGUCAUUGAGUAGCUCAUGUUCUAUGGAAACCUAUCUUUUAAUAGGAAGCUAGAAAAUAUUCACUGCCUGGGUUAAUACAGAGAUGCAACUAAUUAUCUACUUUGUUCUUAAGAAAAAGUUGGUUUUAACAUUUCUCUUGGGCCAACUUUACACUUUUCCAGAAAUCUUUCCAUCUUAUUGUUUGUUCGUUCCUGUACUUAACCAAUACUUACUGAGCACCUAUGCUGUGUCAGGGUCUGGUGACACAGCAUGAAGAUGACAGUCUUCCAUUUUAUGAGCAUAGUUACUGGCAGGACCUCUGAAAGUGGAAGGUCACCCUCCCACCCAAUUUCCUUCUCUGGAGACAAUCACAUCCUAUAGUUUCUAUAUUCUCCCAAUGGUAACAAUUGGUAUAUUAAUACCUGGUGUAUGUUUGCAUGUAUAUUUUUAAGUGGAAAAAAAAGACAUUGGUAUCCUGUAUGUCUGUACACCUUUACAUACGUUAAGGUGGACUUCCCUGGUGGCUCAGAUGGUGAAUCUGCCUGCGAUGCAGGAGACCCAGGUUUGAUCCCUGGGUUGGCAAGAUCCCCUGUUGAAAGGAAUGGCUACCCGCUCCAGUAUUCUUGGCUGGAGAAUUCCAUGGACAGAGGAGCCUGGCAGGCUACAGUCCAUGGGUUGCAGUCAGACAGGAGUGACUAACACUUUCACUUCACACGUUCACGUUAAGGUAUCUAUGUUAAAAGGUAUAGAUUUUUAAGAAACAAAUAUCUCUUGGUGAUUGUUUCAUAUCAGUACAUAAAGCUGGCUUAUUCUUCAUUCUUUGGCCAUACCACAUGGCAAGGGGAUCUUAGUUCCCCAACCAGGGACUGAACCCACACCCCUUGCAAUGGAAGAACUGAGUCUUAACCACUGGACCACCAGGGAAGUCCCGAGCAGGCUUAUUCUUUGACAGUUGUUUAAAACACUACAAUGGGAACAUGUAUUGCUGAAUAUCUACAUAGUUUCUUUUCUCCGUAUAGGUUUUUAACUUGCCACUUAUUUAUUCUUAUCUAUCCAGAAAAUGGGCUUUUUUUCUUCUUCAUUUCUGACUUACUACUGCUUUUAUCUUAUUUUUCCUCAGGACUCUUAGUUUUUUUUCCUCCUCAAAAAAAGGUUUGAGUCCAAUGCUUAAUUCAUUUACUUUCCUUCUUUUUCAGUUAAUAGUUUAAGCACUUCAGGUCUUGAAAUUACUCCGGAGACUGUACCUAGACCUAGGGAAAGCGGUCCUCAGAUAAUAGGAUUAAGGUUACAUGGGUCCUAGAGAGCAAAUGGAUGGUAACAGAGAACAUGAAGUAUUCUUGAAUCAAGACUGCACAGUAUGUGACCACACCCUGAUAGGCUGGAUUCCUGCCAAAACAUGUUUGAUAGCCAUUCAAGAUUAUAGACUUUUGACCUUGUCCCCAGGAAUGUGACCAUUUCAAAGUUCUUUGUAGCACUAUUUUAAGAUUUCUUUUAUCAUCCUCUUGGAGCCUGGCCUAGUCUUCAGACUCUCCUGUUUGAAGAUUUCCUCAUCUCUUGUAAUUUUUCCAACUGUUUAUUCACUCAACGAUUUCCUGAGCUGUAACGUCAGUUAUUUCCUAGCAACUGGGGACAUGUGAAGGAAACUGAAAUAAGGAUGCCGGCCUCACUUGUGCUACUUAACAUUUGUUCUAGAUGUUCAGAUAAGAUAAUAGACUCCAAAAUGGAGAAACAGAACCUCUCUUACUAUAUAUUCAUACAGUUGACCCUUCACAUCUGUCUAUACUUCACAAUUUUAUUGUAUUUUUUUAAAGUAGCAUGGAGGGCUUCACAAAUGGCCUGUUAUCCUUGCACAGGGGCCAUGCUAAUCCUGUGUUGUUCCAAUUUUAGUGUGCAUGCUGCCGAAGCAAGCACUGUACUGCACCAUUUUAUAUAAAGGACUUGAGCAUCUAGAUUUUGGUAUCUGUAGGAGUCCUAAAACAAUCCCCCAUGAAUAUCAAGGGAUAGCUGUCCUAAUGUGAUCAAGGUUUUAGAGUUUGUCUUUCUUAUGACAAUCUGGUGUAAAACCAGAAUGAGACAUUUCAUUUGUACUAUUCAGUGUGGGUCUCUUCAGUCUGUUUUUCUGUUCUGUCAAACAAGGGGAGAGCUAAGAUGAAUGAUCUGCCUGCACAGAUUACAUUGAGAAUCUGCUCUCAUAUGAGUCCUCUGAUGCUGAACACAAUGAGGACUCCUACUGAAGGGCUUCUGGUCAGUGGGUUCUGUGACUCCUCAUGCCUAACAUUGAUUACAUUCUCAGACACUCUUCAAUAUCUACUUCUAUGAUAUUGAAAACAGCUGUUUAUGAAACCUCUCCGCAGCAACUAUUUCCCUGUGAUUUCAGAGUUCUCAGAUACAAUGAUUUGAUGUAAGAACUUUUCCAAACGGAACACAACUGGAAUUUUUUGUCUAGUAUGAAUUCUUUCAAAUCAGGCUAUAAGCAUUUCCUGCUAUGAUUCCUGGGAUUUCUUCUGUUUGAGUUCUCAUAUUGAAAAACACAUGAUGAAAAGGACUUCCUCCAUUUGAGGUUUUUCCAUGUGAGUCUCCUCUGUGAGCUGAGCUAAAACUAGGUUUUCUCACACUAAACAUAUUUACUCUUGUUCCUGAAAGAAUUAUCCUUUUUUUAAAACGAAUGAUUUCCUACAUCCCCCACAUGUUGGUUUUAUAGCCCAUAUGAGUCCUCUCAGGCUACACAAAAAAUCUUGAGAAUUUCCUUCUAUUCCUCUCAACAAUACAAUCUUCUUGUACUAGCCUUUUUUUCCUACUAAUGUCUAUACUAAUUUGAGUUGCCACAUUCAUAUUUGCAGGGCUCUUUUGCUUAAAUUCUUGACAAAC